GAUGAAGAACGCAGCGAAAUGCGAUAAGUAAUGUGAAUUGCAGAAUUCAGUGAAUCAUCGAAUCUUUGAACGCACCUUGCACCCUUUGGCAUUCCGAAGGGUAUGCUCGUUUGAGUGUCAUUGUACUCUCACACUUCUGAUCCUUUGGAUUGGGAGCGGUGGACUUGGGUGUUGCUGCUUUACUGUGGCUCACCUCAAAUGCAUUCGUGCAACUCUUGGUUGGACAUAGUACGGCGUGAUAAGUAUCUUCGCCGGCACCUCGCAAGAGGGUGGCUGAUCAGGAGCUCUGUGCUUUCCAACUGUCUUCAGACAACAACUGACAACUUGACCUCAAAUCGAGUAGGACCACCCGCUGAACUUAAGCAUAUCAAUAAGCGGAGG
rnacentral:misc_RNA from 1 species